rnacentral:misc_RNA from 1 species
GAUGAAGAACGUAGCGAAAUGCGAUACGUAGUGUGAAUUGCAGAAUUCAGUGAAUCAUCGAAUCUUUGAACGCACAUUGCACCUCUCGGUAUUCCGGGAGGUAUGCCUGUUCGAGCGUCAUUUGUACCCUCAAGCUCUGCUUGGUGUUGGGUGUUUGUUCCGCCUCUGUGUGUGAACUCGCCUCAAAACAAUUGGCAGCCGGCGUACUUGUUUCGGAGCGCAGCACAUUUUGCGAUCCAGAUCAACGUACAGCGGCAUCCAAGAAGCCUUAUUUCACGCUCUUGACCUCGGAUCAGGUAGGGAUACCCGCUGAACUUCAGCAUAUCAAUAAGCGGAGGA